GAACGAUAGUCAGUCAGUGAACUACCAGUUCACGUUCGCGAACGAAUCGUUUCACGAAGUGAUUCAGUACACUUCGUUCACCCAAAAGAUUCAUUCUUUUGAACGAAUCGUUCGCGAACAACACAACACUAGAGUUCACACGUGAAGCAAGGGAUACGUCGGAAGACAUUAUGGAACGAAUAACUGCGCUUCUUUUUCUUUUACAGGCGACAGUAACUGUUGUCAACACAGGUUCACACUCAAUCUGGGCGUUUGCAACAUUUAUACACGGGAAGACCCAAUUCCCAGAAUUCAGUAUUUUGGUAUUUGUGAAUGAUCUUCAGGUGCUGUACUAUGACAGCAACAUCAAGAAAAUUAUCUCUCGAAGCCAACCAAACUCCACAAAGGGAGUUGAAGAUAUUAUGCUUCUAGGUGCAAACAGUGUGAUAGAAGACAUUUACAAUUACAUGAAACGUCCAUCACAUCAUGCAAGUCUCUUCGCCAAUCACACUGGAGGAGUUCAUGUUCAUCAGAAGCUGGCUGGAUGUGUGCUGGACAAUGACAAGUCCAGUCCGGUCAUGAUGUGGGAUGCUUAUGAUGGAACAGAAGUGGUAUAUUUUGACAUGCAUAAUCGCACAGUCAGCCCUUUAUGGCCACAGCUUAUGUGGACCACAAAGGCAGCAGAGAUUGUUCUAAUGGAUUUUCUAAGUAUUUAUCAGCCUAUUUGUAUCCAAACAUUGAAGUACUAUCUGGAGAAAGAAAAGAACAUUGUGCUUAGAAAAGAGCGGCCCAGAGUCAGACUAAUCCAGAAGACAUGCAGGGAGACUGGAGUGGUGAAGGUGAGCUGUCUGGCCACUGGCUUCUACCCCCGGCACAUCAACCUGACCAUGCUGAGAGACGACCAUCCCAUUCCGGAUGAGGAGCUCAUUUUCGGGGAGGUGUUACCCAACGGAGACGGGACUUACCAGACGAGGAGAACCCUUAGUAUCAGUUCAGAGAAAGCAAGAGAGAAACACCGUUACACCUGCUCUGUCACACACCUUGCUCUGGACAACAAGCUGGACAUCAACUGGGAACCAGGGGAAGGUGCUGAUGUUGCAGUCAUCAGUUCUGUGGUUGUAGUGCUGGUUCUGGUUCUGAUCUUUGCCAUCCCUGCGUUUAUCGUCUAUAAGAAGAGACGCAGAGGCAUCUAGACCUCCUUUGGAUACUUGCUUGCUAAAGUUUUAGAGUCUGAAGGCCCAGCUUCACACUCCUCUAUCAUUUAGAAAUCCUUUGUUGUACCUGGUCAGGAUGAGUAAUUUUCUUUUUAGUAUUCAAUGGAAUUGCAGACUCUGGUAAUUAUGGUUCUUGCUAUAAAAUAGUCAAGUGCCUUACAUUUAUUGGUGCGUGUGUUUGCUGUAAAGUGGUAUAUUGAAUCAAGUGCACUUAAGUGGACAUGCAGACCGCCAUCUGAAAUUGCCACGACACUUUCAACAUCCCAUAUGCCUAUUAUCUUAUUAAUAUAUUGUUUUCAUUAUUAUAGGGGCAAGCGCCACAGGUGCUGGAGCCACUCUUGUUUUAGUUUUAGUUUUAUUUGAUGACUUUUCCUGCCAAUGCAACUUAAGUUCAUGCAUAGCAAAACUCACUGAACUUUGCACAUCUGUAGAGCACUUUAACUUUAACUUUAAGGCCCUUGGGCCCCUGGUAGCUCGUCAUGUUAAGGUACUGCUCCAAUGCAUGGAUAGGCCCCAUUGUGUGGUAUUGUCUGGGCCAUGCUAGAAUCAUCCAGGAUGACUGCCUCAUUGUGCACCAGCAACCCCUGCUGGUUGGUCAUUCGCUCUCACUUUCAGCUGCGCAAUGCGUCUUCCUCCAAUGGUAUAUCUGCUUAGACGUACUUUUGAAUUUUGUGUAGAACACCAACUUCACAAUUUCACUGAUCAGGGCAGCAUGUUCUUUAGCCUUUACCUACCUUACUUGAAAGAUGGACCAGAUCUAUUGUGAAUGCAGUUACUGAGAAAAUGAAGUGCAAUGAAAUUAAGCUAUUUUGCCUUUGUGAUUAUCUGGUCACUCAAGUGUCAUGAUGGAAGCAUUGCAAGUUAAAUGAAAUGCAUUUGCCAUCAAGCCUUUAGGUUUUCAUCAUAUGCUUUCAACACAUAACUUGCAUUAUUCAAGACACUUGCUGCUACUGCAACCCACUCAAUAUGAACAUUGCCAAUAAAGGGUAAUUAUCUGUUUCGUAGUAGCUGUGUUUCCCCCAGCAGAGGGCAGUAGUGGCGCAUUAUGGAAAAGUACUGGGGUCAGACUUACUUGAACAGAACAACAGAAGUCACGGCAAAGCAGCUUUUCCACCGCAUGGUACCGGCUCAACUCGACUUGACUCUACUCUACUCGCUUUUGGUACCAGGUAUUUUGUUUUCCACUGCAGAUAGUACCCCCGUCAAUGUAGCUGGUAGUCAUAGCGACGCCGCAUGAAAGCGAUUCUCUCUGACCAUUCAGUGGUCUGGGGUGUUUUCACGUCAUCUUUUGGUAUCGCCUCAGCUCGCUUGGAACCUUGAUGGAGGUGAUACCAAAAAGAGUACCAGGUGCCAGGUACUAUCCACAACUUUUGCCCGAUGGCAAACCAAAACUGUUGAGUAGAGUCGAGUUGAGCCGGUACCAUGCGGUGGAAAAGCGGCUCAAGAGACACAGCACUAGCUACACGGAGAGAACUAGUUUAAACUAUUAACUUUCAGUUCUGUUAAAAGAUUUACAAGAACACAACUAAGUUUAUCAUUGGUUAAUCAUCUGCUUUUGCAUGCUGCGGAUUCCUUUUUGUGUUGUUUUAAAAUAACUUUGGCCGAGCCAGUGGACGAUUCACCACCCAUGAACUGAACUAGUGCUACAGAGGAGAAGACGGAUCAGCACUGCAUCCCAUCUCUACUAAACUACAAAUAAGCUUAGAGAUCUCCACCAUAAUACUAAGAAAAAUCACAACUUCGAAGCUUUGUUCAUUGAAUUGGCAUUCGACUGUGAAAUUAAGCAUUUGAUUAUUAGGAUGGGUGCUCAGUUGCUCAGUUAUUCAGAGGUACUUCAUGGUGCUGUGGGUUGAGCGUAUAGACAGCAGUCACCUGGAGGUUCAUUGGCCUGGCUCAGUUCUGGCGUUUGCACAUUUGCUAAUUGUGAUGGGUAGUACAUUGGGACUAAUCUGUAAUAUUGAUAAUGACUAUAAUGAGAUAAAUGGUAUUGGAUUGUAAAGUAAUCCCUAGCGAUCUGUAUUUUGAUACUUGAAUGAUUCUGCUUUUAUAAAUAUAUAUAUGUGUAUGGAUGUAUGUAAGUAAUGUUUCAUUUUUUUUCUUUGGCCACGUUUGUCGGAACAAGAGAGCCGACAGUGUUUGAAAAGCUUCACAUAUCAAUGGUACCCAUCCCUGACCUGUCUUGGGGGUGAAAGGUGAGCGGGAUCGGACUGAGAGAUCUAACUCAGACGGACCUCAAUACAGGCACACAGAAACAGACUGUAAAUAAUCUCGGGCUUCCAGUCUUUUUUAAUUAUUAUUUUUCAUAAUUGUACAACUAAUAAAUGUUAAA